UCCGGUUUGGCACCGGCAGUCUCCCAUGAGUCCCCGACAUUACUCGCUGGCAACAUGGAACAGGGGUUGCGCUCGUUGCGCCACUUAAGGCAACACCUCACGGCACGAGCUGACGACAGCCAUGCAGCACCUGUGCGGGCUCCCGAAGGAGGACCGGCUUUCACCGGCUUCACCCCGCAUGUCAAGCCCUGGUAAGGUUCUUCGCGUCGCGUCGAAUUAAGCCACAUGCUCCGCCGCUUGUGCGGGGCCCCGUCAAUUCCUUUGAGUUUUAGCCUUGCGGCCGUACUCCCCAGGCGGGGUGCUUAAUGCGUUAGCUUCGGCACAGAGCGGGUCAAUCGCCGCCCCACACCUAGCACCCAACGUUUACGGCUAGGACUAC
rnacentral:misc_RNA from 1 species